rnacentral:rRNA from 1 species
UACGGAGGGAGCUAGCGUUGUUCGGAAUUACUGGGCGUAAAGCGCACGUAGGCGGCUACUCAAGUCAGAGGUGAAAGCCCGGGGCUCAACCCCGGAACUGCCUUUGAAACUAGGUGACUAGAAUCUUGGAGAGGUCAGUGGAAUUCCGAGUGUAGAGGUGAAAUUCGUAGAUAUUCGGAAGAACACCAGUGGCGAAGGCGACUGACUGGACAAGUAUUGACGCUGAGGUGCGAAAGCGUGGGGAGCAAACAGG